CCCAAUGUUAUGGUUGCCUGUCUGCGCGCGGGCGAGGCGUUUUAUAGUUGUAUUAUUUCCUACAUAAAAGGAAAUAAUACAACUAUACAACGCCUGGCCCGCGCGCAGACAGGCAACCAUAACAUUGGG